rnacentral:rRNA from 1 species
AGCGAACGCUGGCGGCAGGCCUAACACAUGCAAGUCGAACGGACCCUUCGGGGUUAGUGGCGGACGGGUGAGUAACACGUGGGAACGUGCCUUUAGGUUCGGAAUAGCUCCUGGAAACGGGUGGUAAUGCCGAAUGUGCCCUUCGGGGGAAAGAUUUAUCGCCUUUAGAGCGGCCCGCGUCUGAUUAGCUAGUUGGUGAGGUAACGGCUCACCAAGGCGACGAUCAGUAGCUGGUCUGAGAGGAUGACCAGCCACACUGGGACUGAGACACGGCCCAGACUCCUACGGGAGGCAGCAGUGGGGAAUCUUGCGCAAUGGGCGAAAGCCUGACGCAGCCAUGCCGCGUGAAUGAUGAAGGUCUUAGGAUUGUAAAAUUCUUUCACCUGGGACGAUAAUGACGGUACCCGGAGAAGAAGCCCCGGCUAACUUCGUG